rnacentral:misc_RNA from 1 species
CGCACAUUGCGCCCAUUAGUAUUCUAGUGGGCAUGCCUGUUCGAGCGUCAUUUCAACCCUUAAGCCUAGCUUAGUGUUGGGAGUCCACCGUUAAACGUGGUUCCCCAAAACCAGUGGCGGAGCGGCAGUUUGUCCUCUGAGCGUAGUAAUUCUUUUUAUCUCGCUUUUGUUAGGCGCUGUCACCCCAGCCGUUAAACCCCCAAAUUUUUAGUGGUUGACCUCGGAUCAGGUAGGAAUACCCGCUGAACUUAA